GCCCUUGUAGCUCAGUGGAUAGAGCAGCGGUUUCCUAAACCGUGUGUCGGAAGUUCGAGUCUUCUCAAGGGCG
rnacentral:tRNA from 1 species